rnacentral:rRNA from 1 species
GGGGGUAGCGACUGUUUACCAAAAACACAGGAGCGUGCGAAGGCGCAAGCCGCUGUAUACGCUCUGACGCCUGCCCGGUGCCGGAAGGUUAAGAGGAUCCGUCAGGCUUCGGCCGAAGCGGUGAAUUCAAGCCCCGGUAAACGGCGGUGGUAACUAUAACCAUCCUAAGGUAGCGAAAUUCCUUGUCGGGUAAGUUCCGACCUGCACGAAUGGCGUAACGACUUCCCCACUGUCUCGACCAGGAGCUCGGCGAAAUUGCAGUACGAGUAAAGAUGCUCGUUAAGCGCAGAAGGACGAAAAGACCCCGGGACCUUUACUAUACCUUGGUAUUGGCAUUCGGUGUGGAUUGUGUAGCAUAGGCGGAAGGCUUCGAAGCCACGGCGCCAGCCGCGGUGGAGCCGCAAGGUGAAAUACCGCUCUGUUCGCAUUGGAUGUCUAACCUCGACCAGUCAUCCUGGUCAGGGACAGUGCCUGGCGGGUAGUUUAACUGGGGCGGUUGCCUCCCAAAGAGUAACGGAGGCGCUCAAAGGUUCCCUCAGCCCGGUUGGCAAUCGGGUGGCGAGUGUAAGUGCACAAGGGAGCUUGACUGCGAGACUGACGGGUCGAGCAGGGACGAAAGUCGGAACUAGUGAUCCGGUGCCGGUGUACGGACGCGGCAUCGCUCAACGGAUAAAAGGUACCCCGGGGAUAACAGGCUGAUCAUUCCCAAGAGUCCAUAUCGACGGGAUGGUUUGGCACCUCGAUGUCGGCUCGUCGCAUCCUGGGGCUGGAGCAGGUCCCAAGGGUUCGGCUGUUCGCCGAUUAAAGCGGCACGCGAGCUGGGUUCAGAACGUCGUGAGACAGUUUGGUCUCUAUCCUCUGCGCUCGUCGGAAUGUUGAGGAGGCCUGCCCAUAGUACGAGAGGACCUGGGUGGACGAACCUCUGGUAUGCCGGUUGUCACGCCAGUGGCACGGCCGGUUGGCUACGUUCGGAAGGGAUAACCGCUGAAAGCAUCUAAGCGGGAAGCCUGCUCCAAGAUAAGCAUUCCAUAGGACUACGGGUCCUUGAAGUCCCCAUGCAGAACACGUGGUUGAUAGGCCGGACGUGGAAGCCCCGCGAGGGGUGGAGCCGACCGGUACUAACGGACGAAAGGCAACACAAC